rnacentral:rRNA from 1 species
AACCCUGAUGCAGCAACGCCGCGUGAGUGAAGAAGGCAUGCGUGUCGUAAAACUCUGUAGUAGGGGAAGAAAGAAAUGACAGUACCCUAAAAGAAAGCCCCGGCUAACUACGUGCCAGCAGCCGCGGUAAUACGUAGGGGGCAAGCGUUAUCCGGAAUAACUGGGCGUAAAGGGUGCGCAGGUGGUUUAACAAGUUAGUGGUGAAAGGCAUAGGCUCAACCAAUGUAAGCCAUUAAAACUGUUUAACUUGGAGUGCAGGAGAGGAAAGUGGAAUUCCUAGUGUAGCGGUGAAAUGCGUAGAUAUUAGGAGGAAUACCAGUGGCGAAGGCGACUUUCUGGACUGCAACUGACACUGAGGCACGAAAGCGUGGGGAGCAAACAGGAUUAGAUACCCUGGUAGUCCACGCCGUAAACGAUGAGUACUAGGUGUCGGGUGAAGAACUCGGUGCCGAAGUUAACACAUUAAGUACUCCGCCUGGGGGAGUACGCUCGCAAGAGUAAGCUCAAAGGAAUUGACGGGGACCGCACAGCAGCGGAGCAUGUGGUUAAUUCGAAGCAACGCGAAGAACCU